UUCUGUUAAUUUCUAUAUCAUGCAUACCGUGGGCAGGGUGGCGUGUAGAAAUAUUUUGUAUUACCUAUUGUAAUGAUUUGCAUUUUUUGUUAAACUUUAUUUUAUGAAAUCUUUUGUAAACUCCAGCAGUAUAUAUAUGUGUGUGUUUUUUAUUCAAUGAGCUAUGGUUUGUAAGAUAAUAUUUUAAACGUGUACGCCAAACUAUUUUGAAUGAUAGUUAAUUGUCAAUGAUGC
rnacentral:lncRNA from 1 species